AUUGAACGCUGGCGGCAGGCCUAACACAUGCAAGUCGAACGAGUGGCGGACGGGUGAGUAAUGUCUGGGAAACUGCCCGAUGGAGGGGGAUAACUACUGGAAACGGUAGCUAAUACCGCAUACCAUCGGAUGUGCCCAGAUGGGAUUAGCUUGUAGGUGAGGUAACGGCUCACCUGGGCGACGAUCCCUAGCUGGUCUGAGAGGAUGACCAGCCACACUGUAACUGUGACACGGUCCAUACUCGUACGGGAGGAAGCAGUGGGGAAUAUUGCACAAUGGGGGGAAGCCGGAUGUAGCCAUGCCGAGGGUAUGAAGAAGGCCUUCGUGUUGUAAAGUACUUUCAGCGGGGAGGCGUUACCCGCAGAAGAAGCACCGGCUAACUCCGUGCCAGCAGCCGCGGUAAUAC
rnacentral:rRNA from 1 species